rnacentral:piRNA from 1 species
UGAGUGUUGCUUGUUCCUUAAAAAGUGUC